rnacentral:rRNA from 1 species
AUUAAACGCUGGCGGCAUGCCUUACACAUGCAAGUCGAACGGCAGCACGGGGGCAACCCUGGUGGCGAGUGGCGAACGGGUGAGUAAAGCAUCGGAACGUGCCCUGGAGUGGGGGAUAACGUAGCGAAAGUUACGCUAAUACCGCAUAUUCUGUGAGCAGGAAAGCAGGGGAUCGCAAGACCUUGCGCUCUGGGAGCGGCCGAUGUCGGAUUAGCUAGUUGGUGGGGUAAAGGCCUACCAAGGCGACGAUCCGUAGCGGGUCUGAGAGGAUGAUCCGCCACACUGGGACUGAGACACGGCCCAGACUCCUACGGGAGGCAGCAGUGGGGAAUUUUGGACAAUGGGCGAAAGCCUGAUCCAGCCAUGCCGCGUGAGUGAAGAAGGCC